UGCAGUCGAACGAUGAAGCCCCUUCGGGGGUGGAUUAGUGGCGAACGGGUGAGUAACACGUGGGCAAUCUGCCCUGCACUCUGGGACAAGCCCUGGAAACGGGGUCUAAUACCGGAUACGACACAGGGAGGCAUCUCCUCUGUGUGGAAAGCUCCGGCGGUGCAGGAUGAGCCCGCGGCCUAUCAGCUUGUUGGUGAGGUAACGGCUCACCAAGGCGACGACGGGUAGCCGGCCUGAGAGGGCGACCGGCCACACUGGGACUGAGACACGGCCCAGACUCCUACGGGAGGCAGCAGUGGGGAAUAUUGCACAAUGGGCGCAAGCCUGAUGCAGCGACGCCGCGUGAGGGAUGACGGCCUUCGGGUUGUAAACCUCUUUCAGCAGGGAAGAAGCGCAAGUGACGGUACCUGCAGAAGAAGCGCCGGCUAACUACGUGCCAGCAGCCGCGGUAAUACGUAGGGCGCAAGCGUUGUCCGGAAUUAUUGGGCGUAAAGAGCUCGUAGGCGGCUUGUCGCGUCGGUUGUGAAAGCCCGGGGCUUAACUCCGGGUCUGCAGUCGAUACGGGCAGGCUAGAGUUCGGUAGGGGAGAUCGGAAUUCCUGGUGUAGCGGUG
rnacentral:rRNA from 1 species